ensembl:misc_RNA predicted gene, 27717
GUCUUAUUUCUCCUUUAACUACACUGAGGUCAUACCCCUAUGUUUGUGACAUAGCAGCAGGUUGCCAUGGAGAUGAUGGCUUUAUCAGCCACACUACCUUGCCAUGACCUCACAACAAGGUUACCAAGAAGCAGAUGGGCUGUGAAACAGA